UACGGAGGGUGCAAGCGUUAUCCGGAUUUACUGGGUUUAAAGGGUGUGUAGGCGGACUUUUAAGUCAGCGGUGAAAUCUCCGGGCUCAACCCGGAAACUGCCAUUGAUACUAUUAGUCUUGAAUCUUGUUGAGGUAGGGCGGAACGGGUCAUGUAGCGGUGAAAUGCAUAGAUAUGACCCGGAACACCGAUUGCGAAGGCA
rnacentral:rRNA from 1 species